rnacentral:lncRNA from 1 species
CCGAUUCGAGGCAUCCUAUGGAAGGUUCUUCUUUUAGAAUAUAAUUUCAUUUUGCUCGUAUGCAAACAGUUGAUAGCUGCCUACUCUCAAGAUAUAACGAACUGGUUUUUGUUCUCUUUGAAGUGCAUUCUAAUGAAGGAGAAUCAAGGAAGAACCUAAACCAGCCAAAUCCAUAUGUGGUGAAAAUCAGCAAACGAGAUUGAAAAAAUAUCUCUCUAUACUCUUUUAUGUUGACAUGAUCCUCUCUUCUCAAAUGGUUGAAGGCACUAUUUAAAGAUAUGAAAGUGUGCGUGCGAACAGGUUCCCAUGUGAUGUUUUGUGAGAAGAGAAAGAGAAAAAGAGGCACAUCUGUAGGAUUUUAAGAGAGGAGAGAG